UACUUUACCAGCUUUUCCCGGAUUGGUUCAAUUAUUCUUGCUCUGCAUGAUGCAAGUGAUGUAUUUCUAGAAGCUGCAAAAAUAUUCAAUUACUCAGAGAGAAUUAGCAGCUAGCUUGUUAUUUGGAUUCUUUGCUGACUCAUGGCUCAUACUAAGGCUAAUAUUCUUUCCAUUUAGGGUGAUUAAGACAUCAAGCUAUGAUGUCCGUGAAUUCCUGAUGCUAUCAGAGACCUACCCCAGUUUGUUGAACUAUGUUUUCAAUACCAUGCUAUUGACGCUACUUGUGUUCCACAUAUACUGGUGGAUUCUCAUAUGCUAAAUGGUCUUGAGACAGCUGAAAAAUAGAGGAAAAGUUGGAGAAGAUAUCCGAUCAGAUUGAGAGGAUGGAGACUAGAGGUGGAGAUGAGUAGUAUUGAUCAGUCAUCUUUCUUGUGGGUAUAUACAUGCCGACUUGCUGUUGGUGUGGAUAUUUACA